AGAGUUUGAUCAUGGCUCAGGACGAACGCUGGCGGCGUGCCUAACACAUGCAAGUCGAGCGAGUGAAUCUCCUUCGGGAGUGAAGCUAGCGGCGGACGGGUGAGUAACACGUGGGCAACCUGCCUCAUAGAGGGGAAUAGCCUUCCGAAAGGAAGAUUAAUACCGCAUAAGAUUGUAGCUUCGCAUGAAGUAGCAAUUAAAGGAGCAAUCCGCUAUGAGAUGGGCCCGCGGCGCAUUAGCUAGUUGGUGAGGUAACGGCUCACCAAGGCGACGAUGCGUAGCCGACCUGAGAGGGCGAUCGGCCACAUUGGGACUGAGACACGGCCCAGACUCCUACGGGAGGCAGCAGUGGGGAAUAUUGCACAAUGGGGGAAACCCUGAUGCAGCAACGCCGCGUGAGUGAUGACGGCCUUCGGGUUGUAAAGCUCUGUCUUCAGGGACGAUAAUGACGGUACCUGAGGAGGAAGCCACGGCUAACUACGUGCCAGCAGCCGCGGUAAUACGUAGGUGGCGAGCGUUGUCCGGAUUUACUGGGCGUAAAGGGAGCGUAGGCGGACUUUUAAGUGAGAUGUGAAAUACCCGGGCUCAACUUGGGUGCUGCAUUUCAAGCUGGAAGUCUAGAGUGCAGGAGAGGAGAAUGGAAUUCCUAGUGUAGCGGUGAAAUGCGUAGAGAUUAGGAAGAACACCAGUGGCGAAGGCGAUUCUCUGGACUGUAACUGACGCUGAGGCUCGAAAGCGUGGGGAGCAAACAGGAUUAGAUACCCUGUAGUCCACGCCGUAAACGAUGAAUACUAGGUGUAGGGGUUGUCAUGACCUCUGUGCCGCCGCUAACGCAUUAAGUAUUCCGCCUGGGGAGUACGGUCGCAAGAUUAAAACUCAAAGGAAUUGACGGGGGCCCGCACAAGCAGCGGAGCAUGUGGUUUAAUUCGAAGCAACGCGAAGAACCUUACCUAGACUUGACAUCUCCUGCAUUACCCUUAAUCGGGGAAGUUCCUUCGGGAACAGGAAGACAGGUGGUGCAUGGUUGUCGUCAGCUCGUGUCGUGAGAUGUUGGGUUAAGUCCCGCAACGAGCGCAACCCUUAUUGUUAGUUGCUACCAUUUAGUUGAGCACUCUAGCGAGACUGCCCGGGUUAACCGGGAGGAAGGUGGGGAUGACGUCAAAUCAUCAUGCCCCUUAUGUCUAGGGCUACACACGUGCUACAAUGGCAAGUACAAAGAGAAGCAAGACCGCGAGGUGGAGCAAAACUCAAAAACUUGUCUCAGUUCGGAUUGUAGGCUGAAACUCGCCUACAUGAAGCUGGAGUUGCUAGUAAUCGCGAAUCAGCAUGUCGCGGUGAAUACGUUCCCGGGCCUUGUACACACCGCCCGUCACACCAUGAGAGUUGGCAAUACCCAAAGUGCGUGAUCUGACUCGCAAGAGAGGAAGCGCCCUAAGGUAGGGUCAGCGAUUGGGGUGAAGUCGUAACAAGGUA
rnacentral:rRNA from 1 species